rnacentral:misc_RNA from 1 species
UCUGUUGGUGAACCAGCGGAGGGAUCAUUACCAGAGUGCCCUAGGCUCUCCAACCCAUUGUGAACUUACCAAACGUUCCCUCGGCGGGCUCAGCGCGCGGUGGCCUCCGGGCCUCCGGGCGUCCGCCGGGGAAAACCAAACCCUGAUUUAAUCGUAUUUCUCUGAGGGGCGAAAGCCCGAAAACAAAAUGAAUCAAAACUUUCAACAACGGAUCUCUUGGCUCUGGCAUCGAUGAAGAACGCAGCGAAAUGCGAUAAGUAAUGUGAAUUGCAGAAUUCAGUGAAUCAUCGAAUCUUUGAACGCACAUUGCGCCCGCCGGCACUCCGGCGGGCAUGUCUGUCCGAGCGUCAUUUCAACCCUCAGGCCCACCCUUCCGGGGGAGCGGGCCUGGUGCUGUGGAUCGGCGGCCCUCGCGGCCCCCGUCCCUCAAAUACAGUGGCGGUCGCGCCGCAGCCUCCCCUGCGUAGUAGCACAACCUCG